AUGUUCCUUUUUAUUUUUGCUUCGAAUUGGUCAGGUGCUCUUUUACCUUGGAAAAUUAUAGAGUUACCCCAUGGGGAAUUAGCAGCACCCACGAAUCAUAUAAAUACUACCGUUGCUUUAGCUUUGCUCACGUCAGCGGCAUAUUUUUAUGCUGGUCUUAGCAAAAAAGGAUUGAGCUAUUUCGAGAAAUAUAUUAAACCAACUACAAUCCUUUUACCAAUUAACAUCGGGGUACCCAUCGCUCUCGGGUUACAGAUUUUCCACACUGCGAUGCGUUGUCCAGGAAACGCAAGUGCUUCUAGAAGGCAGGCCAUGGUAUGGCCCAUUUAUGACUUCCAUUUUCAUAUCUUGCAUAAAAAAUUGCCAGGGCUAUUUCUCACCUACGGCGAGAUGGAAAUAGCUUCACCUUUGGUAAGAGGCAGGUGGGCCUGCCCCUGUUGCUGCUUUGGCAUAAGUUUUUCCUCUGUGUUUUUUCUUACCGGUUCUCGCUGUUUUCUUAUUGAUUUUUGUUUUUUCUUCAGUAUUCUUUAUUUCAUUCUUCGUUUUCCUAAGGGGUUUUCGUUCUUCCUUUUUUUCCUUCUUUUUUCAAAUACAUGUUCACUUUCCUAA
rnacentral:rRNA from 1 species